rnacentral:sRNA from 1 species
UGCCCAUACAAAUAAUAAGUGUGUCUACGGCGCGCCCUUUCUUGCAAAAUCCUAACCGUGAUGUUCAGAUGAUGAAAAUCCCGGACGUAUAGAGAGUAAAACUCCUUGGAACACAAAUCCAAGCUUAAAUUCAAUUUCUGGCAAAAUGAUAGGAGAUCUCCGAUUUUUUUUCCAUUUUCCAUGACCAGCUAAGUAUGUGUGUGAGCUGGAUUUUUCCGCUGCUGGUUCUGAUAGAAAUCUGACGUGGAACUAAAGCAAUUGGGGAAAACAAAUAAACAACAGGAGCAAAACACAAACCCACAAGGUAAAUAAAUAAUUUAUAUAAAUAACAGUGAAGAGACGAGGAACAAAGACAGCUUAUUUCCUCUUCAAGCGAAAACAGAAGAAAAAGUCAAAAAGCCGAAAAAAAAAAGAAAAGAAAAGAAAAGAAAAGAAAAGCCAAAAAUACCAUUCAUCAAUCUCACCGCUCCUCGUGGCUGAAGAAGAUACGAUUUACUCAAUUGUUGUCUCAUCCGACAAACACAUGCCUGGUACAGACACAUGAUCGGCACUAUGCAGCCUUUUCGAAACGGCUCUAUUUCUGGAUACGCUGAAACACAAAGGAGAAGGCAAAUGCCAGCAGCAGCUCCACACGGGGAUGAGCGGUGGCACAGCAACUCCGAUCCGACAGCACGCAUUAGCUCCCGGUCGGAUUGAUGAAGGAACUAUGUACAGUAUAUCCGGGAAUAAAAGGAAAACCAGGUUUCAGGUAUGUACAACCCGCUCUGCGACUGAUUCACUGAUCCAAAUUGAUCAAGCCGUUUGAUUCAAAUCCAC